rnacentral:rRNA from 1 species
AUGAAGUUCAACAUGGAAAAUUGUCGUGGAUUGCAUUAUUUGAGAAUUUUCCAUGUGUUCUGCAUUUUAGGUAGCGCAGAAUCAGUAAGUUCUACUACUGGUGCACGCCAAGUUCAAGGAUUUUGCCAUGCUCGAGCAUCCACUGGCUCCGACCUCCACCUGCUGUCGCGCGCCUGGGAUCCGCAACCUCUGACCUCGCGUGGACCUUGGCUGGUUUCUCUAUCCCGAGUGCCGCCGCCGGCCUCCCUGCAGCAUGGCUUUGGUUCCCUCUCCGGAUGCGUCUGCGCCAACCAUCUCUACGAGACUACCCUAUUCCUUCGCUGGACUACUCCUUCCACCAGCAGCCCCCUAGCAAACCUCAUGUCUCAUAUUUGUUCUUAUUUUCUUGCAGGAUGCAUCAAAAAGCCAGAUUCACAAAUUCAUCUUCUAUAUGCUUUUCAGUUCAUCAACUUCCCAUUGAUGGAAGAAGGAAAUCAGUCCAACAGGCGCAUCUAA